UCAGUGCAGAACAGAUCAGCACAGAUCAGUGCUGAUCUGAUCUGCACUGAUCUGUGCUGACCUGAUCUGCAAUGUUCCCCCCUUGUUGAUUUUGUUCGAAUUAUAACAAUAUGACUGUUGCAUCUGCAGCUUGAUCUUCGAAUCUGGACUGAAGGAAAGAUUGUUGCGAUAUGCAGCGAGCGCAUUGCUUUUUAGUGAAAAGGGUGUUAAUCCGUUCUUUGUGUCUUGGAAUCGAAUCAUUCUUCUACACGGACCCCCAGGUACUGGUAAAACAUCAUUGUGUAAAGCAUUGGCUCAGAAGCUGUCAAUUCGGUUCAGCUCCAGAUAUCCACAGUCCCAGUUGAUUGAAGUUAAUGCUCAUUCUUUGUUCAGCAAAUGGUUUUCAGAAAGUGGCAAAUUGGUAUGUGCUGCUCAUCAAGCCUGAUGUUAGUCCAUUUACACAUUUUCGCUCCCAGCUAUGAACUAACGAACAUAAGGACUCAUUUUAACCUUUUAAAUGAUUAAUAUGAUUAAUUUUAACUUUCCAAGA